rnacentral:rRNA from 1 species
GGAUUCCCCUAGUAACUGCGAGUGAAGCGGGAAAAGCUCAAAUUUAAAAUCUGGCAGUCUCUGGCUGUCCGAGUUGUAAUCUAGAGAAGUAAUGCCYGUGCUGGACCGUGUAUAAGUCUCCUGGGAUGGGGCGUCAUAGAGGGUGAGAAUCCCGUCUUUGACACGGACUACCAGUGCAUUGUGGUAUGCUCUCAAAGAGUCGAGUUGUUUGGGAAUGCAGCUCAAAAUGGGUGGUAAAUUCCAUCUAAAGCUAAAUAUUGGCGAGAGACCGAUAGCGAACAAGUACCGUGAGGGAAAGAUGAAAAGAACUUUGGAAAGAGAGUUAAACAGUACGUGAAAUUGCUGAAAGGGAAACGCUUGAAGUCAGUCACGUUGGCCGGGAAUCAGCCUUGCUUUUGCAUGGUGUACUUUCUGGUUGAUGGGUCAGCAUCAAUUUUGACCGCUGGAAAAAGGCCUGGGGAAUGUGGCAGCUUCGGCUGUGUUAUAGCCCCUAGUCRCAUACAGUGGUUGGGAUUGAGGAACUCAGCACGCCGCAAGGCCGGGUUUCGACCACGUUCGUGCUUAGGAUGCUGGCAUAAUGGCUUUAAGCGACCCGUCUUGAAACACGGACCAAGGAGUCUAACAUGCCUGCGAGUAUUUGGGUGGAAAACCCAAGUGCGUAAUGAAAGUGAAAGUUGAGAUCCCUGUCGUGGGGAGCAUCGAUGCCCGGACCAGAACUUUUGGGACGGAUCCGCGGUGGAGCAUGUAUGUUGGGACCCGAAAGAUGGUGAACUAUGCCUGAAUAGGGUGAAGCCAGAGGAAACUCUGGUGGAGGCUCGUAGCGAUUCUGACGUGCAAAUCGAUCGUCAAAUUUGGGUAUAGGGGCGAAA